rnacentral:rRNA from 1 species
AGCGAACGCUGGCGGCAGGCUUAACACAUGCAAGUCGAGCGGGCAUCCUUGUGGUGUCAGCGGCAGACGGGUGAGUAACGCGUGGGAACGUGCCCUUCGGUUCGGAAUAACUCAGGGAAACUUGAGCUAAUACCGGAUACGUGCGAGAGCAGAAAGGUUUAUCUGCCGAAGGAUCGGCCCGCGUCUGAUUAGCUAGUUGGUGAGGUUAUGGCUCACCAAGGCGACGAUCAGUAGCUGGUCUGAGAGGAUGAUCAGCCACACUGGGACUGAGACACGGCCCAGACUCCUACGGGAGGCAGCAGUGGGGAAUAUUGGACAAUGGGGGCAACCCUGAUCCAGCCAUGCCGCGUGAGUGAUGACGGCCUUAGGGUUGUAAAGCUCUUUUCUCUGGGACGAUAAUGACGGUACCGGAGGAAUAAGCCCCGGCUAACUUCGUG